AUCUGAUGCUGCAACAGGAAAGGCGCAGCACUUCUUCCCCUCCUAAUGAACUCCAAGGUGCUGCAAUUUCAGUGAUUGCCAUGCUUGUCACAGAGGAAUUAAGGCAGAGGUGUUUGCCCGGGCGCUGUCUGCAGCGGCCGAGAAGACCAAAAGGAGAAAAAGAGAGAGAGAAAGAGGGAGAGAGGAGACUUGAUAGAAAAAUCUGAUUCCCAAAACUCUUGUAAGUGUCAUUACUUUCUAAGAAAAUGAAUUGCUUUCUAAGUAAAAGAGAAAUGUGGAGGAAUGCCUGAAAUGGUAGCAGGGAAUGGACUCUGCCUGUCUCUUUCCUACGCAGCGAGAUUUCUGGGGCACAAAGCAGAGGCCUAGAGGCUGCAGAGCAUUUCUCUGAGCUCUGAAGCAGAGCUGGGCCUGGUUUGAAGGAGCUUUCCCUUCCUGACCGCCCGCGGGGGGCUCAGCAGCUUGGGGGCUGUGUUACCUGGGUCCCAUCCCACAGGCAGACAAAGGCCGGGAGCUUCUUUCCUUGUGCAGCAGAAAUAAGGAGGGGAGGAAAUCGGUUUUGGAGAAGGAAGGGUUGCUUUGCGAGAGCGGCGGUGUGCGGGUGAUGGUGUGGGUCAGGACGGGGCUGCGCCGAUGUUUUCAGGGUUUGUUGUGCCGCCGUUGAUGUCGGGUUCGAUCUUGUGUGUUUUUCUAACGUGGUCGUCUCUGCCUGGCGGAGCCGGGGUUUGGAAAUGGAAGGAAAGUGGAGGCAUGUUGCUCGUCUCUGGGAUCUCUUUGUUCAGGGAACAGUAGGUGGUGGGUUUAAAAAGGCAGAGAGGGAAAGAGGGGGAGAAGAAGAAAGAAAUGAAAAAGGAAAAAAAAAAAAAAAAAAAAAAAGGUUCUUUGCAAAUCAUCUGACUAUUUUCUUCCGGGAUGAAGAAAUGCUGCAUUAGAGAUUAAGGCAGGGCCAUGCUUAAAACAAAAUGUCUCACUGGAAGUGCUAAUAAAACAGCAGCAGAGCCCAGCCUGCUUUUACAGCCUGCAAGCCAGGAAGGGGCUACAGGGAUGGGAUUGGGGGGCAGCCAAUGGGGGCAUUUCAUUGUGAACUUCAGAGGCUCUGAGCUACCGGUGCGGUUUGGUUUAGAGGGGAAAUUAAACCCUGCCACCAGCACUGUUGCCCGCUGCCACACGGCACGGCUCAGCCGCCCACACCGGGGCUCGGUGCUCUGUCAGGGGCUCAGCAUCCCACUCCGUGUCCCGUGGUUUGAUGGGGUUGGGCUGGGGAGAAAGCAGCAGCAAAAUCUAUGGGUUCCCCUAGGAGGAUCUGGGGAAGGCGUCCGGGGCAGCACGAGCAAGCAGCGUUUCCCGCAUCCCAGCCCGCACCUCCGCGGCUGCCUUGCUGCAGAAUGAGCAGAGCAGCCCGUGGUAUGGAGCUGGGGGAGAAUCCCUGCGCGCCGGUCCCGUGCCCCGGAGCUGCGGCCCCGCGCCUUCAAUACCAUGGACAGCGAAGCCGAAGCGCGGCGGCACCGAAGCGGCGCCGGGUGGGGACGGAGAGCGGGCCGGGAGCCGGAGGGGGCCGUGCGGACACACCGCAGCGCCUGCCCGGGCUCUGUCCCCGCUGCCACCGGCUCCCAGGAGCUCCGGGGCCGGAGGAGGAGGGGAAAGGCUGCCCAACGUGCCCGGAGUUGGGGAGAAAGCUUCUGGAGCAGAAUGCUUCCCUCCGCCUUCAUUUGGUGAGGUUGUUUUCUUUUAGAUCAAUAACAGAUUGAGAGACGUGGUCUGUCAGAGUAAAUAGGUCAAUAUAGAAUAGGCUGUAAAUAAGCAGAUUUUAAAAUAAAUAAAUAAAUAAAAAUAAACACGUUUCAGAAGACGAAACGCUAGGGGAAAAUUCCCUUUGCUGCAUAACAUCAAACGUUGAUAUCCCCCUCCCCCUCCCCCUACCCCCCUUCCACCCCGUUUGGUGCCUAUGUCAUGCACUGCAGAGUUAUAAACACAAAUAGGGGCCCUUUAAAAUACGUCUCUUGAGCUUGGAAGGUGAUAUUUCACCUCGCUGCAGUGCUCCUGCUUGUCCCUCGUUGGCCAAACAUGGCCCAGCAGCCGCUCAUUCUGUGAAAUGCUAUCUGCAGGCCGACCUCCCCUCGGAGCCCCGUGUGUGGGAGCCGCCAUCCGCCAUGCAAUUGUGCUGAUGGAGCAGCAAAGGGAGCAGAUCGCAGCCCCAGCGGUCGCUGCCCCGCUGUCCUGGACCUGCAGGGGCACGGGGGCCUUCUAAGGCUGCGCCAAGAUGCCUUCCAUCAAAACCAUUGUGUCCUGCCUCCUUACCCCUUCCUGAGAAGGGAAAUACCACUGGGCAUGGAAACACACGCAUGCAAAUAAAUCCUUGCCUGAAAGCUACGCUAGCGAAUGCGCAGUGCGCUGCUGGUCAUAAAGUUGCUUUGGACAGGGAAUAGGGGUGUGUAGAAACCCCCCUGGAUCUGCACCUCCUGUCACAAACAUCAAUGUGAGUACGUGCGUGCGGAUGUCCACAGCUUGGGGGUGCAUGUACGGAUGGGGGGUGGAUAACCAGCAGCGAGGAAGCAGUCUGCUUAUGGAAAAACAAAACACAUGAGGCUUCUGAGCAAAGCCUCUCCCAGCUGCCUGAAGCCCACUUGGUGUUCAAUCCAUUUUCUUUCCCCAGGCACGAAAUUUGGCCUCCCUAGGUAAAUAAAUGUGUACCCGUGCCCCUUUUCAUUGUGAUGAGGUCUGGAAGUUUAACCAAGGAGAACUGCAGCAAAACCAUGGCCGAAUGCUUCCCAGCAGUGAGCCCCGGCCGGGCUGCCGUGGGGUUGGGGCAGGGCGAGGGCAGAGCAGCUCUGAGUGCCUUCUGCAUUUCCAAAGGUGGGAGAUUUAGCUCGAAAAAUACCCUGUCUGUUUGUCACCUGGACGUCAAAACCGUUCCCUUUCAGCACAGCAGGUCCUCACGCCUGCAGGUCUGUGCUCAUGUGACACAGGGAAAAAUCUAACGUUAAAACCCCAAAUAUAAAAUUUGUAUUAGAUAUUUAAGGGGAACCUCUUACUUUAUAUACCUCAGGACACAUUGUCUCUGUUCUGAGAGAACGGGGGUGAAAUCCUACACGUUUCUAAAAUAAAAAAAAAAGGGGGGGGGGGGGGAAGAGAGAGAAAGAAAGAAAAGAAAAGAAAAAAAAAACCGUUUUAAAAUUACAUUCAUGUCAGCUUUAAAAAAAAAAUUAUCGCUGAUGUCUUUUUGAGCUUGGAAAUGUAACUGUAGGAUGCAGCUCUCCCCUCCCCCUCUGCCCCUCCACCCCUCCCUUCCCAACUGAAAAAAAAAAAAAAAAAAAAAAAAAGAAAGAAAAGAAAAAGCAACAGAAUAUAUAAAGCUGCUCUGAUUAACAGUUUAGGUGCAGAGCCCUAUUUAUAAGGCACACGCUCUGCUAUAACGCCUCGGUCCUGCAGCCCGGAGCGGUGCAUUAUUGAUGCAGCUGCAAGUGCUCAAAGCUUAAACACUAUUUUCCGAGAGCCCCAGCAGCCCGCCUGGGAGGAAGGUGGGGACGGGCUGGCAAUGGAGUCCUGAAUGUUACUCCUCCAGUUUCAAGGACAUCUUGCUGAUGAGGAUUUGGUUAAUGGAGGAGAACUUAUGUCCUAGCGGUGACGUCAUUGGGUCCCAAUGUAAUCCUCUUGUGCUGAACCCAAUCAGCAGAUGUGCUGAGAGCCGGGAUGCGGAGAAGAAGCUCUAAUCCCUUAGACUGGAUGAGAUCAGCUGAAACAGCCAGGACUAGACCCCAAACCCCUCUGCUAGGAAGAUCAAGAGAAAAGGGAUAAAUUGAGAGAGACGCCUCAUAACCCCUUUAAAGAGCUUUGGAGAAGAGAAGAGAAAGAUGGGUGGUGCACCAAGUUCAUCUUGCUUUUAAAGCCUAGCGGGAGCCUGGUUUUCGCUCUGAUGAGGUCCUUCUGCAUUGUUCCAGGGCAGGAGGAGAGAGGAGGAAAAAAAAAUGAGAGAAAAAGGAAAGAAAAAAAAAAAAAGGAGGGAGAGAGAAAGAGAGAGAAAAAAAAAGUCUGAAAUUCAAAGAUAAUGAGAGACUAGGCGCCUUUCUUAUUCAUCUCCAGCUUGCCUACACAAAAACAGCAUCCUGAGCCACGGGAGGGCGUUUGCAUUGGAUCUGAGCGAGGCAGCAGAGUUUGUGCCGCCGGAGCCACAGCGCGCUGCUUCCACUGGAGUGGGUAAAUCUGCUAAGAGCUGUAAUUACGGGGUUUGGGCGACAAUGGUGGGAUAGCGACCCGGCUCUGUUGCUAACUUGGAAGAGCAUCAGGAUUUUUUUUUUUCGCCCCUUUUGCAAGCGACCUUAAUGGGCUUGUGAUUUUCUUUCUUUGCUUUUCUUUCUUUUUCUUCCUUUUUUUUUUUCCUUUUUUCUUCUUUUCUUUUUUCUUUUUUUGGACAAAAAGGAAAGGGAGGAAGGGGAGGGGGUGAUUGUCAGACGCGGUAUCUAGAGAGAGAAAUCGUCCUAAAUUCAUAAAGCGCCUCUCAGUCCGACGGCGAUCAUCGAAACGGCUUUAAUUGCUUUAUUCCUUUCUGAGCCCUUCCAAUUCUUUUUUUCUUUUUCUUUUUCCUUUUUUUUUCCCUGUUUUUUUUUUUUUUUUUUGAAAUUAACAUUUAAAAAACAAUAAUAAUGAGUGGAGCGAUGCUGAUGCCUCACCGCGGCGCAGCGCAGCGAUCGGAUCCCCGCGCCUCCCUCCGCCGCUUUCCCUUCGGGAGGAGAGCGAUCGUUCCUUUGCGUUGCGAGCGGAGGGAACACACGAGGGGGGAUUUUCCCUUCGCUCUCCAUUCCCGGGGACGGAGCGGUGCAGCCGCCUCACCCGACGCACCGCGGGGUUCAGCGGGAGGAGCCCCCGGAGCCCCGUGGCUCUGCGGCGGCUGCCCCCGGGAUGCGGGCACGGCUCCGGGGGUUGCCGAGGGGGGGUUGCGGCGCAGUUCUCCCGGCUCUGCUGCCCGCAGCACCGCUUCUCGCUACUCAGGGUUCGCGCUGUGGCCGUCCGUCCGUCCCGCGGGGCCAGAGCUGCCGGCUGGCGGAGCCCCGGGGGGGGCUUCGUGGGGCUGAACCCCCGCCUUUGGGCUUUGGGAAUGGAAUGAAGGAGGGAAGGGGGCGAUGCCCGCCCCCCCCCCCCUCUCCCCCGCCCCGAUCCCGCUGAGCCCCCGAGGCCGCCCCGGCGGAGGGGAGCCCCGGGCCAUGGAGUGGCACCGGCCCCGCGCUCACAGCCUCUUUCUCUCUCCUGCGAACCCCUCUCUCCGCCUUCCCUGCUCCGAGCCGGGCCAGCCCGAGCCUCUCUCUGCGUGUUCACAGCGGACCUUGAUUUAAUGUCCAUACAAUUAAGGCACGCGGUGAAUGCCAAGAGAGGAGCCUCACAGCUUCAUUUUCAUGGAAAUUGGGGACAUACACCCUCUAAUUACACUUAACAACAGCCACGGAGCGAUCUAUGGAGCAUCCCCGGCCCUUUGACAAACAGCGCGAACAAUGCGGGCAGGGCCCGAGGGGCCGGGGGAGGCGGCCGGGGGCCCCGAGGCCCCGCUCCCGCACUGCGGCUGGGGGCUGCCGCCUUACAAAGGGCACAGGAGAUCGGGCACGGCGGCACGGGGAGGGGGUGCCUGCGCCGGGCCCUCUGCCGAGCUGCGGGACCUCCGGAGCGGUGCUGGGAAAGCGGCGAGAGGAGCGCGAUGCAGUGCUGAAGGUCCCCGAAAAAAACACCCCCCACCACACCGAGGGUUGCUUUUUUCUAUUUUUUUUUCUUUUUUUUUCUUUUUUUUUUUCUUUUUGGAAUGGCGAGGGGGCUUUUUGCCGUGUUACCCCUUUGCCACGCUCUUUUCCUGCUCGCAGCCUCACUCUUUUCUUGUGCAGAGGCUCAGAGCGCAGCCCGCUGCGCUGCGGGGUCACAACGCGGGGCCGUGGUACCGUCCCCUUUGCACCCCGACAACGCGCAGAAUUAAAUCACGAGCCCGCUUUUGCUUCUCCGAAAGCCGAAUGGGUGCAGCGACGUGAGGGGCUGCAGCAUCACAGCCGCCCCGGUGCCACCUCCGCCGCCGCGCCGUCACCGCAGCCUCAAGGUGAGACGCGGCCCCUUCCGCAGUUUCCCCGCGGCGGUUCGUAGGUUAGCCUUCAGACCUCAAUAAAUCUCUUUGUAAGACUCGUGUUUUCAGCUUCCUAAAGACACGCCGAGCCCCAAGUCCUGAGCCUCCUGAGCGCUGUACUCACGCAAGGGAAUAUCUCAUUAUUUGGCCGUGUAGCUGGAUUCAGCCGCACACCCUCCGCACCCCCUCCCCUCUUCAUCUCUGCUCCACUUUUAUCAGCAUUGCGUCUGUCCGAGGAAGUGAAUCCAUAGACAGCUCCAUCCUCCAUCCCUGCAGUGGCUGACGUGGGACGCACCACCUUGUCUGCGACAGAGAUGCCGGUAGCAGAGCGUUUUCCUUGUUUAGGAGAGGGGCAAGAACACCCCUACUGCACCUUGCGGGAUUGCUUGGUUUCACGCUCGCCUGUGAAAAGCAGGCGCCUUUAGGGAGGGCUCCUGGGGGAAGAGGGACGAGGAAAGGGAAGAAGCACCGGAGGACACUGCGUGGCGGUGAGGAAGGGAGCUGCCCAGCUCUCGAGGCUGUUCUGCAGCAGACGCGUCGCACGAACGAGCAGUUGGGAACGGGUGUUGCCUGCAGCCCUGGGAAGAGGCAGCAGUGAGGAAGCACGCGAUGCCCAUACGGCUACAUCCAGCGGUGCGGCAAUCCGCUCCUCCUGCGGACCUGAUCCUGAGCGUUGCUCCAGCAAGGCCAGGUAUCGUGUAACUGCAGACACGCUUGGGGCGAGUGGCUGUGAGGCACGGGCAGCCCCAAACUCACCAGGAGGGCUCUUGAGGCACAGAGGUGUGUAAGAGAAGCUGGAUUUUCCCCAUUCCCUUUCCCAGUAGAUCAGCGCAAGCAGCAAGGUGUUGGAGACCUGCUUGCUCUCACGUCCGUCAAGCACUGCAAGGCUGCAGGACACAUUUUUGACCUCAUUUGCCCCCACCAUAAAUCAGGGGCUAAGUGGUGAUGUGCUCACUGCUGGGGUCGGGACAUCUGCACCACCCUGGCCUCUCUGGUGCACACUGGGGGGCAGAUUGCCAGUCAAGGGGCUAUUCUGCUCUUGAAAUGCCUGGUUCUUUGCAAAAUAGGUAUAGAGGGAUAAGGAGCCAAGUUCAGGGAGCCAGGCCCCUCUAAACCAAAAACGGCCUCAGGGACAGAAGGGAGCAAGCCACGAGGCAAUCUGCAGUGCAGCAGGAAAGCUGCUGGCUCCCUCCAGGGGCCACCAAGAAGCCAAGGACAGCUCUGCAAGAUGCAGGUAAUGGGGAGCUGCCAGGGCCAAUCUGCACUGGGCCUGGUUCCCGACACUGGGGUGUGAAGGGGAUCAUGGAUCGAGACCCACUGUGUCAAGACGGUGCCAGCCAGCUCCUGCUCCUGGACCAGAAUCCUGUCCAGGUUUGCAGAGGAGGGAGCGCAUGGACUCUGCAGCACAAGGGACUACUAUGAUGCACAAACACUCCCUCCUCUCCCGAGAUUCCUAUGGUCCCCCUUCCAAGACAAGAGGGAAAUCAAAGAGGUCAGGUGUCUCAGACUAAACCUUCUUUCUCACACACAAAGUGCCCUCGAACGCAAGCACGCACAUUUCUCCAGUGUCCCCAGGCUGCAGCUGGGGCUCUGUAGGAUUGCCCUGAGCGCACUCCCCACUGCAGCGUGGCUACACAGCCGUGAGCCCAGAGUCUGCUGUGCUGCAUUGAGCUUGUCACGAUUGCAUACAUUCUGCAGUCACAAGAGAUGAGAGCACAAGGCAGCGAGUCAGAUCAGCUGCAGCUGGGGGAGGGAGAAGCAGGAAAGGCUGGGGACAAGCAGCCAUGGUCUCGCUUUGCACGUCUCCUUCUCGUAUACCGACCCCUGCUUGUUUAGGUAAGCCAGGACCCAAAUGCCAGAUGACGGCCAAUGUACGUCCAUAAAAAAAUACCCCUCUCUCAUCCACCGUGCUUUGUGCUCAGCAAUGGGAUCCCACGUGCUCAGGGAUGCAGUCCCACCUCUGUGCCAAAGGCAGCCCAUGAGACCUGGCUGCCUGCCAUCCUGCAGUGGCCCCCAGAUGGGGUCUCACUGUGCCCGGGUUCAGCUGGGGGCAGCUCCCCGGGCCAUACACCCUGCAGCCCCAGAGCUGCACUGUCAGCCACAGCCCUGACAUCCUGCCACAGAGCCACCUCCAGCACCGGGCACAUAUUCAGAAGGAGGAUUUAUCCAAGAGCAGAUGCACUCCUGGGCCACUCGUGGCUUUAGUGGAGCCAAGUCCUGUUUUCUGAUGGAAAAACCCCGGGAAAUAGGAACUGCGCUUUGUAACAGAGGGGUUGGGUAAGGCCAUUCUAUGACUAAGUCACCACAAAGGGCAAAUUGCCACUUUAUUUUCUCUGUGGGGUUGCCCCACACUCAGGAGAGCUACACAAUUUCCCUCACAAGGGGAAAGCACAGCAGGAUCCAAGCUGAGGGCAAGGAGGAAGGUUGGCCUUCACCCCCCCCCCCCCCCCAAGCACCCCUUCCUCGCAGUACACAAAGCACCGGUUCCCAUCCCUCAUUCACAGGCCAGCUGGCCAGGGAGCAGCUUUACGUAUGACUGCUUCAUCCUAUACAAAUCCUGCCAUCAGUCAUUAAAGACAGAUUAAAACAAAAAAAAAAAAUACAUGUCUGUGCUCUCGAAUCACCACGUAGCAGAUGGAGCUGUCCUGCAUCCCCCUGCAUGUGCCAGGAGGGCCCCGGGUUUGGGAUAUGCUGAGAAAUACACGGACGGGUUGCAGAUGGGAUAAGGAGAAACAAAUGUGGGCAGAUGAGUGAUAUCAAAGGGUGAACUUAAAAAGAAAGAGGUUAAGGGAAAGAUGUUAACAGUCAAGUGCUUAAGAAGCUGCAGUAAGGGGAGGGGACGAUGUGCCUUCCUAUAGCGAUAUAGGUAGGAACGGGCUGAACCUGAAGCAGAAAUCAUUCGGGUAGUAGGAAAAGAGCUUUGCAGUGGAAAGGAUGCAGAAGCACUGGAGCAGCCUGGGAAGGAGGAGAAAUUCCCAUCUGGGGGAGGUACGGGGGAAGGGCCUGGCAGCACUCCCUGUGCAGUGCUGGUCUCAGCAGUCCUAUGCAGGCAUCCCCAGCACACAAAGUGACUGCUCCACUGGCAUCACGCACCCAUCUGCCCCAGAACUGAAUAUCUCCCUCCUGCCAACCCCCUCCCCUCCCAUCCAUCUUUACCUUCUUUCCCGGAGCCGAAGUGUUUCUGUGUCACCACAGAGACCUGGAAAGGGAUGGCAGAAGGCAGUGCCUGUAAAAGCCCAGGGCUGCUGUCCUGCUUUGAGAACAGGGCAGAGGCAUCCCGACAGCAGCGAUCGAAUUCAAGGUGUCAUUGUCCUUUUCUUCCAGAAAGGUAAGAGCUUUCCAGAAAGACUCACAGCUCCAGGCUGCUGCGCCAGGUGUACAAUAAGAUCAAGCCCACAGAAUCAAUCCAGUUUGGGGUUAUUCCCUCACCCAAUUUGUCCCACGCCAGCUCAAAACCGACCGAUUAAGCUCUAAUACCCCCAGGUGAUGUAUCCCAAAUGCCAUCCCGGAGGGACCGCUGUUUUCUCUGCUCUCCUAAUAGGCCCCUUUCUGUGAGCAGCACACCUUGUUGGGUGCGUUUGCAGAAAUAGGAAAUCAGAGGUAACCCGAUGUGUACAGGAGGGCAUCGGCUGUAAGGCAGGUACACAUAUGGCCGUGUCUUGAAGAUGACAUGCGCAGGGGACCUGCAGAAUCAGAGAAGCAUUCAGAGAAGUUGCUCAAGGAUCCUGCCCUCCAUCUGCCCCUCUCUCCGGAGGGGUUUUGGGGUUGUCAGGAACAUUCACCUCACCUGCAGCACAGCUUUCCCAGCCCGGGCUGUGUGCUCUGAGCCUAAGCUAAGGGGCUCUGUCCAUGGGGACGGCCUCUCCACUGCACAGUCCGUGCUGCAGAGCGGCUCUCCCCAUCACACAAUGGCUGCAGGGCCAUUACAGCACAAGGAUCACCUUCAGGAGGUGUUCUCGUAGCCCUGCAGGUAACUCCACCGGCAGCUGCUUGAGCAGGCAGCACCUUCUUAAAUUCCUAUCGCCCUUCUCACAAAGGAAGAGCCGAGACAAAACCGGUUCCUGCUUAAGCGGAGGAAACAAUAGCGGGACAAAGCCACACUCCGUGCUGCAAAGGCGCGGGUGGCCGCAGGAUGGCACUCCUGCCGCUUGUCCUUGAGGGACGGGAGAGCUGUGCCGGG
rnacentral:lncRNA from 1 species